rnacentral:rRNA from 1 species
UACAGAGGUCCCGAGCGUUGUUCGGAUUCACUGGGCGUAAAGGGUGUGUAGGAGGUAUGAUAAGUCUGGCGUGAAAAUCUCACCCGCCUAACGGUGAAACUGCGUUUGGAUACUAUCGUGCUAGAGGAUUAGAGAGGAGAGCGGAAUUCUUGGUGUAGCGGUGAAAUGCGUAGAUAUCAAGAGGGAACACCAGCGGCGAAAAGCGGGCUCUCUGGAUAAUUCCUGACUCUGAAAACACGAAAAGCCAGGGUAGCAAAACGGGG